rnacentral:lncRNA from 1 species
AACAAAAAGGGGGAAUAGGCUAUGGCCACACCACAAAGAUAAGAAAUUUUUUGCAAUUGGAUAAGGAAGGUCACUCUGCUGCUGAACGAUAUGCUAAUACCAGCUCCAGUAAAGUGGGGUAUGCUAAAUGGAAGGAUGUGCUUACAGGAUCAUGGAAUGGUCCGGAUCCUGUGUUAGCCUGGGGGAGAGGGUCUGUUUGCAUGUUUCCACAGAAUCUCGAAGAGCCAGUGUGGGUUCCAGAGAGGCUAGUGCGACGCUGUCAAAAUGAAGAAGCUGAUCUUGCUGGUGAUGAGCACGUGUCUGCCCCUGAUGGGUGCGGAACCCAGAUGGGGAAUACUGUUGGUGUUUAAAGAGGACUGCAAAUUUGAUGGCAAAAUGAAUGAGCUUCGCUCGGCAAUGGUCACCGUGAAUUCUACCUGAGUGGAUCCUGGCUUGGCAUCGGCAAAGAAUGGACUGGGAUAGGUGCCUUUGCUAUGGCCCUUGUUUUGGCAUGCAUGUUGUGUGUAUGGUGUAUGUGUCGGUUGCGGAAUGCCCAGGUCCACACUGCCGCCAUGGUGGUGCAAGCUUUUGCCACAGUGAAAGCAGGGAGUCACCUCAGAUUUGGCUUGCUACCAUGAAGAGUGAACAAUGAAGCCAUCGCUCCAUAGGGUUGUACGGCUAAGCACUGCACAGAGAGAACCUGGCAGCUCAAACCCACUGCAGGGAGACAUGGGAAGACAGACCAGGACAGACUCACUUGAGGUCACCCAGCCUAGCAGCUGUGUAAGGACAAACAGACAGGGGACAUGGAAGAGCAGAGAGGGCUUUCGGUGAUUUUCCAUGCCCAGCAGAGCUGAAGAAAAAAAAACAGAAGAGGCGGAUCAACACCUUAAGGCAGGAGGUAAGAGGCCAGAUCCACCCUGAUCUUGGACCCCUCAUCAGAGCCAGCAUUGUUCAGGGUAGA